CUUCAGGUGGUGGAGUGAGCGCUGGAGCUUUAAAUUUCCUGCUGGAUUUACCUCUGCAACGAAUAACAUCAGACUAGGUUCUGGCUGGAGUUGAUGACUUUGGUCUAGCACCAACACUGCUCCAGUAGGAGAGAUCAGUCUGAAUGUCCGGUUUGGGAUCUUCCCAGCUAUUCCAGUGUCAUUUGAACACAACCAUGGAAAUGUAUCAGCCAGGUCUCCCUUCCUGCCGAGGGA